rnacentral:rRNA from 1 species
GAUGAACGCUAGCGGCAGGCUUAAUACAUGCAAGUCGUGGGGCAGCAGGGGUGUAGCAAUACAUCUGCUGGCGACCGGCAAACGGGUGCGUAACACGUACGCAACCUUCCCGUUACUGUGGCAUAGCCCAGGGAAACUUGGAUUAAUACCACAUAUUAUAUAGAGAGGGCAUCCUUUUUAUAUCAAAGCUUCGGCGGUAACGGAUGGGCGUGCGGUUGAUUAGGUAGUUGGCGGGGUAACGGCCCACCAAGCCUACGAUGAAUAGCUGAUGUGAGAGCAUGAUCAGCCACACGGGCACGGAGACACGGGCCCGACUCCUACGGGAGGCAGCAGUAAGGAAUAUUGGGCAAUGGACGAAAGUCUGACCCAGCCAUGCCGCGUGAAGGAUUAAGGUCCUCUGGAUUGUAAACUUCUUUUCUCUGGGGCGAAAACCAGCUAUUCUUAGCUAUUUGACAGUACCAGAGGAAUAAGCACCGGCUAACUCCGUGCCAGCCGCCGCCGUAAUAC